rnacentral:rRNA from 1 species
UGGGGAAUAUUGCACAAUGGGGGAAACCCUGAUGCAGCGACGCCGCGUGAAGGAUGAAGUAUUUCGGUAUGUAAACUUCUAUCAGCAGGGAAGAAAAUGACGGUACCUGACUAAGAAGCCCCGGCUAACUACGUGCCAGCAGCCGCGGUAAUACGUAGGGGGCGAAGCGUUAUCCGGAUUUACUGGGUGUAAAGGGAGCGUAGACGGCUUAGCAAGUCUGAAGUGAAAGCCCGCGGCUCAACUGCGGGACUGCUUUGGAAACUGUGUUGCUGGAGUGCCGGAGAGGUAAGUGGAAUUCCUAGUGUAGCGGUGAAAUGCGUAGAUAUUAGGAGGAACUCCGAUUGCGAAGGCAGCUGACUGUAUCGUAACUGACGCUGAAGCUCGAAAGUGUGGGUAUCGAACAGGAUUAGAUACC